GACGAACGCUGGCGGCGUGCCUAAUACAUGCAAGUCGAACGCUUUUUCUUUCACCGGAGCUUGCUCCACCGAAAGAAAAAGAGUGGCGAACGGGUGAGUAACACGUGGGUAACCUGCCCAUCAGAAGGGGAUAACACUUGGAAACAGGUGCUAAUACCGUAUAACACUAUUUUCCGCAUGGAAGAAAGUUGAAAGGCGCUUUUGCGUCACUGAUGGAUGGACCCGCGGUGCAUUAGCUAGUUGGUGAGGUAACGGCUCACCAAGGCAACGAUGCAUAGCCGACCUGAGAGGGUGAUCGGCCACACUGGGACUGAGACACGGCCCAGACUCCUACGGGAGGCAGCAGUAGGGAAUCUUCGGCAAUGGACGAAAGUCUGACCGAGCAACGCCGCGUGAGUGAAGAAGGUUUUCGGAUCGUAAAACUCUGUUGUUAGAGAAGAACAAGGAUGAGAGUAGAACGUCAUCCCUAGACGGUAUCUACCAGAAAGCC
rnacentral:rRNA from 1 species